UAGUGUACGUGUCCGAUGAUAGUGAGCGUCUUUUCACUCUGUUCAAGUGUUCGUUUUCCUCUGUUGCCCAACAGUCGUGCGAAUUUGUCCUGACGUGUCCUGACAUGCCCCGAUAUGCAUGGUUUCCUUUGUUAACGCUUUGUAUUUUGUCUUUUUUGACAAGGAACAUUGUCGUCUUGACGAUAGUGCUGCCCUGAGUUCUGCGCGCGUUGAUUUGUUGAGUGCCUAGUCCUCUUAUUAGCCGUUGAUGGGUUUACAUGUUGGGAUAUUUUGUUCUUUUGCAAGUCUCAUUUAGUAAGACUUUGGAAUUCCUACGAUCAGCUUUCAUGCAUGGUGCUCUUCUGCAAUAGUUUCCUAUGCAAUCGUUAUAGAAUAAUAAAGGAAAUAACCUUGGGAUAGUGAUUCAAUAAAUAAUAGGUCCCCUGUCUAGAGCGCACGCGUCCUUGAGCCACGCAGGUGCAUGAGGACGUCAUACCGUGGCUUCACUGCAGAUUGACCUUGUCUAGAGGAGCAUUAGUGGAAAAAAAACAGUGUAGCCCUGAGACAAUAGGAUGAUGUCUGGACCAAUGAGAACGGCCAGCAGGGGGCGCAGGAAUGCUCUUCUCUCUUAGCCUCUCGCAGGUGGCGGUAGGAGCGCGCAGAGGGCGCUACGAGCGCGCGCAUGCGUAGCACCCGUAGAGUGGCGCUUACGUCAGUCCACCUCUGGCUCUCGUUGGGAGAAGACGUGCGGUCGUUCGCUCCGUCGUCACUUGAUCCCUGGCUGUCGACGAGAGCGGACGCUCCGUCGCAGCGGGGAAAAAGAGCUACGAUGCUGGCGCCAUCUGGUGUGAUGCCUUGGAACUAGCGUGCCACCUGCCUCUGCAACCGUCGUGCUCCAGUCGCCCCGGCGUGAUUUCUUCAAGAUGGCGUCGUUGAUUUUCAAAUAAAUCAUUUCCUACUGUCUG